GGCGGCGUGCUUAACACAUGCAAGUCGAACGAACCUUCGGGUUAGUGGCGGACGGGUGAGUAACGCGUGAGAAUCUGCCCUCAGGAGGGGGAUAACGGCUGGAAACGGCCGCUAAUACCCCAUAUGCCGAGAGGUGAAAUGAAUUUCGCCUGAGGAUGAGCUCGCGUCUGAUUAGCUAGUUGGUGGGGUAAAAGCCUACCAAGGCUUCGAUCAGUAGCUGGUCUGAGAGGAUGAUCAGCCACACUGGGACUGAGACACGGCCCAGACUCCUACGGGAGGCAGCAGUGGGGAAUUUUCCGCAAUGGGCGAAAGCCUGACGGAGCAACGCCGCGUGAGGGAUGAAGGCCUCUGGGCUGUAAACCUCUUUUCUCAAGGAAGAAGAACUGACGGUACUUGAGGAAUAAGCCACGGCUAAUUCCGUGCCAGCAGC
rnacentral:rRNA from 1 species